rnacentral:rRNA from 1 species
GAUGAACGCUAGCGGCAGGCUUAACACAUGCAAGUCGAGGGGUAUAGCACUUCGGUGCUAGAGACCGGCGCACGGGUGCGUAACGCGUAUGCAAUCUACCUUUCACAGAGGGAUAGCCCAGAGAAAUUUGGAUUAAUACCUCAUAGUAUAGUGAGUUGGCAUCAACACACUAUUAAAGUCACAACGGUGAAAGAUGAGCAUGCGUCCCAUUAGCUAGUUGGUAAGGUAACGGCUUACCAAGGCGACGAUGGGUAGGGGUCCUGAGAGGGAGAUCCCCCACACUGGUACUGAGACACGGACCAGACUCCUACGGGAGGCAGCAGUGAGGAAUAUUGGUCAAUGGACGCAAGUCUGAACCAGCCAUGCCGCGUGCAGGAUGACGGUCCUAUGGAUUGUAAACUGCUUUUGUACGAGAAGAAACACUCCAAC